ncrna:unclassified sequences DTF3800-V RNA
UGAAGCGGGUAAAACGUCCUAUCGGUGUUCCUCGAUGUUCCCCUGCGGAGCGGGGUCUAAGUCGAGGGGUGAUGCUGGUAGGUGCCGCUUCU